GACGAACGCUGGCGGCGUGCUUAACACAUGCAAGUCGAACGGAAAGGCCCUGCUUGCAGGGUACUCGAGUGGCGAACGGGUGGGUAACACGUGGGUGAUCUGCCCUGCACUUCGGGAUAAGCCGGGGAAACUGGGUCUAAUACCGGAUGGGAGCCAUUUUUGGGGGGAUGGUUGGAAAGUUUUUUCGGUGUAGGAUGAGCUCGCGGCCUAUCAGCUUGUUGGUGGGGUAAUGGCCUACCAAGGCGGCGACGGGUAGCCGGCCUGAGAGGGUGGACGGCCACAUUGGGACUGAGAUACGGCCCAGACUCCUACGGGAGGCAGCAGUGGGGAAUAUUGCACAAUGGGCGCAAGCCUGAUGCAGCGACGCCGCGUGGGGGAUGACGGCCUUCGGGUUGUAAACUCCUUUCGCUAGGGACGAAGCUUUUUGUGACGGUACCUAGAUAAGAAGCACCGGCUAACUACGUG
rnacentral:rRNA from 1 species